AGUGAACGCUGGCGGUAGGCCUAACACAUGCAAGUCGAACGGCAGCACAGUAAGAGCUUGCUCUUACGGGUGGCGAGUGGCGGGCGGGUGAGGAAUACAUCGGAAUCUACUUUUUCGUGGGUGAUAUCGUGGGGACACUUACGCUAAUACCGCAUACGACCUACGGCUUGAAUCAAGGGUUAUUGGCAGCUUUGCCGAUAGAAUUAGCUGAUGCCGGAUUAGCUAGUUGGGUGGGUAAGGGCCCACCAAGGCAACGAUCCGUAGCAGAUCUGAGAGGAUGAUCGGCCGCACUGGAACUGAGACACGGUCCAGACUCCUACGGGAGGCAGCAGUAGGGAAUAUUGGGCAAUGGGCGAAAGCCUGACCGAGCAAUGCCGCGUGAGUGAAGAAGGCCUUCGGGUCGUAAAGCCCUGUUGUUGGGAAAGAAAAGCAGCAGGUUAAUCCCCCGCUGUUUUGACGGUACCCAAAGAGUAAGCACCGGCUAACUUCGUG
rnacentral:rRNA from 1 species